GGAAGGUGCAAGCGUUACCCGGAAUCAUUGGGCGUAAAGCGUCCGCAGGCUGUUUGUUAAGUUGGGUGUUAAAUUUUGCAGCUCAACUGCAAAACUAUAUCCAAAACUAGCAAACUUGAGUAUUGCAGAGGUACGUGGAAUUCUGUGUGUAGGGGUAAAAUCCGUAGAUACACAGAGGAACACCAAAAGCGAAGGCAGCGUACCGGGCAAUUACUGACGCUCAGGGACGAAAGCGUGGGUAGCGAACGGGAUUAGAUACCCCGGGUAGUCCACGCCGUAAACGAUGGAUACUAGGUGUUGGGAGACUCGACCCCUCUCAGUGCCGACGCUAACGCAUUAAGUAUCCCGCCUGGGGAGUACGGUCGCAAGAUUA
rnacentral:rRNA from 1 species